AAUGGGUCAGCGACUUAUAUUCUGUAGCAAGGUUAACCGAAUAGGGGAGCCGAAGGGAAACCGAGUCUUAACUGGGCGUUAAGUUGCAGGGUAUAGACCCGAAACCCGGUGAUCUAGCCAUGGGCAGGUUGAAGGUUGGGUAACACUAACUGGAGGACCGAACCGACUAAUGUUGAAAAAUUAGCGGAUGACUUGUGGCUGGGGGUGAAAGGCCAAUCAAACCGGGAGAUAGCUGGUUCUCCCCGAAAGCUAUUUAGGUAGCGCCUCGUGAACUCAUCUCCGGGGGUAGAGCACUGUUUCGGCAAGGGGGUCAUCCCGACUUACCAACCCGAUGCAAACUGCGAAUACCGGAGAAUGUUAUCACGGGAGACACACGGCGGGUGCUAACGUCCGUCGUGAAGAGGGAAACAACCCAGACCGCCAGCUAAGGUCCCAAAGUCAUGGUUAAGUGGGAAACGAUGUGGGAAGGCCCAGACAGCCAGGAUGUUGGCUUAGAAGCAGCCAUCAUUUAAAGAAAGCGUAAUAGCUCACUGGUCGAGUCGGCCUGCGCGGAAGAUGUAACGGGGCUAAACCAUGCACCGAAGCUGCGGCAGCGACGCUUAUGCGUUGUUGGGUAGGGGAGCGUUCUGUAAGCCUGUGAAGGUGUGCUGUGAGGCAUGCUGGAGGUAUCAGAAGUGCGAAUGCUGACAUAAGUAACGAUAAAGCGGGUGAAAAGCCCGCUCGCCGGAAGACCAAGGGUUCCUGUCCAACGUUAAUCGGGGCAGGGUGAGUCGACCCCUAAGGCGAGGCCGAAAGGCGUAGUCGAUGGGAAACAGGUUAAUAUUCCUGUACUUGGUGUUACUGCGAAGGGGGGACGGAGAAGGCUAUGUUGGCCGGGCGACGGUUGUCCCGGUUUAAGCGUGUAGGCUGGUUUUCCAGGCAAAUCCGGAAAAUCAAGGCUGAGGCGUGAUGACGAGGCACUACGGUGCUGAAGCAACAAAUGCCCUGCUUCCAGGAAAAGCCUCUAAGCAUCAGGUAACAUCAAAUCGUACCCCAAACCGACACAGGUGGUCAGGUAGAGAAUACCAAGGCGCUUGAGAGAACUCGGGUGAAGGAACUAGGCAAAAUGGUGCCGUAACUUCGGGAGAAGGCACGCUGAUAUGUAGGUGAAGUCCCUCGCGGAUGGAGCUGAAAUCAGUCGAAGAUACCAGCUGGCUGCAACUGUUUAUUAAAAACACAGCACUGUGCAAACACGAAAGUGGACGUAUACGGUGUGACGCCUGCCCGGUGCCGGAAGGUUAAUUGAUGGGGUCAGCGCAAGCGAAGCUCUUGAUCGAAGCCCCGGUAAACGGCGGCCGUAACUAUAACGGUCCUAAGGUAGCGAAAUUCCUUGUCGGGUAAGUUCCGACCUGCACGAAUGGCGUAAUGAUGGCCAGGCUGUCUCCACCCGAGACUCAGUGAAAUUGAACUCGCUGUGAAGAUGCAGUGUACCCGCGGCAAGACGGAAAGACCCCGUGAACCUUUACUAUAGCUUGACACUGAACAUUGAGCCUUGAUGUGUAGGAUAGGUGGGAGGCUUAGAAGUGUGGACGCCAGUCUGCAUGGAGCCGACCUUGAAAUACCACCCUUUAAUGUUUGAUGUUCUAACGUUGACCCGUAAUCCGGGUUGCGGACAGUGUCUGGUGGGUAGUUUGACUGGGGCGGUCUCCUCCUAAAGAGUAACGGAGGAGCACGAAGGUUGGCUAAUCCUGGUCGGACAUCAGGAGGUUAGUGCAAUGGCAUAAGCCAGCUUGACUGCGAGCGUGACGGCGCGAGCAGGUGCGAAAGCAGGUCAUAGUGAUCCGGUGGUUCUGAAUGGAAGGGCCAUCGCUCAACGGAUAAAAGGUACUCCGGGGAUAACAGGCUGAUACCGCCCAAGAGUUCAUAUCGACGGCGGUGUUUGGCACCUCGAUGUCGGCUCAUCACAUCCUGGGGCUGAAGUAGGUCCCAAGGGUAUGGCUGUUCGCCAUUUAAAGUGGUACGCGAGCUGGGUUUAGAACGUCGUGAGACAGUUCGGUCCCUAUCUGCCGUGGGCGCUGGAGAACUGAGGGGGGCUGCUCCUAGUACGAGAGGACCGGAGUGGACGCAUCACUGGUGUUCGGGUUGUCAUGCCAAUGGCACUGCCCGGUAGCUAAAUGCGGAAGAGAUAAGUGCUGAAAGCAUCUAAGCACGAAACUUGCC
rnacentral:rRNA from 1 species